GUGAGGAAUAUUGCGCAAUGGAGGAAACUCUGACGCAGCAACGCCGCGUGGGUGAAGAAGGCUUUCGGGUUGUAAAGCCCUGUCAAGUGGGACGAAACCGCCGUAAGUGAAUAGCUUGCGGAACUGACUGUACCACUGAAGGAAGCACCGGCUAACUCCGUGCCAGCAGCCGCGGUAAGACGGAGGGUGCUAGCGUUGUUCGGAAUCACUGGGCGUAAAGCGCGUGCAGGCGGUUCGAAAAGUCGAGUGUGAAAUCCCGAGGCUCAACCUCGGAAGUGCACUCGAAACUCUCGGGCUUGAGUACGGGAGAGGGAAGCGGAAUUCCUGGUGUAGAGGUGAAAUUCGUAGAUAUCAGGAGGAACACCGGUGGCGAAGGCGGCUUCCUGGACCGAUACUGACGCUGAGACGCGAAAGCGUGGGGAGCAAACAGGAUUAGAAACCCCGGUAGUCC
rnacentral:rRNA from 1 species